rnacentral:rRNA from 1 species
GCCCUACGGGACGCAGCAGUGGGGAAUAUUGGGCAAUGGGCGCAAGCCUGACCCAGCAACGCCGCGUGAAGGAAGAAGGCUUUCGGGUUGUAAACUUCUUUUGUCAGGGACGAGGCAAGUGACGGUACCUGACGAAUAAGCCACGGCUAACUACGUGCCAGCAGCCGCGGUAAUACGUAGGUGGCGAGCGUUAUCCGGAUUUAUUGGGUGUAAAGGGCGUGUAGGCGGGAAUGCAAGUCAGAUGUGAAAACUAUGGGCUCAACCCAUAGCCUGCAUUUGAAACUG